CCCGCGUCGCCCGGGCACCCCGGGGCCACCCUCCGAACACCCACGCCUGAGCGUGUCCUGGGCUCCUCUGCUCGCUGCAGGCGCUCAUGCGGGGCAGGAGGGGUUUUUACGGGGGCAGGUACACACGAAGCUGACCAUGUGACCCCGUCAGGUGCACAGUUCGGCUACAAGUUGAACCGGGAAGCUGACAGAGGAGACGGGAAAACUCCAGAAAACAGCUGUGCCGGGAACGACGCAGGCUCCCCGCCCGCCACCCAGCUCCGUGUCUCAGCUCUGAGUGACGUCGGCAGCCAUCAGCGGCAGCCACCGGGGAGAUGGGCUGGCAAAGCCGGAUCCUCACCUCUUCCGCCAGCCAGGCAACAGCCUCUCAGAGCCUCAGAGCCGCCUGCCCUCCUCCGUGACCGAUGAAGAGCAGGGACCAGGGCCGGUCUUCCUGGCAGUUUCGGCUCUCACUCCUGAGUGGAAAGCGAGAAGGCAAGGACGGCCAAGGCCGCCCAGCUUUACCACGGAGCCAGCGUGAGGACGAGCGUGAGAGAAGAGGCAGCGCUGCAGCACUGGGGAGUGCAGGAGGCAGCGAGAGGCCAAGUGAAUGGCUUCAGAUAACCCCACGCGCACCCGAGGCUGGCAGAAGGACGUGCCACACAGCGACCGCGUUCCCACUGCGGGUGGACUGCUUUUGUUUUGGGUUUUGGAGGCGGGGGAACCCCAUCUGCUUGCUCCCCAAAUAUCCACAACAGGCAGGGCCGGGGCAGGUAAUUAAUCUGGGUCUCCCACACGGGCGGCAGGGACCCAAAUCCUGAGCCAUCGCUGCUGCUUGCCAGGGUCAGCUCCAGCAGGGGGCUGGAGGCCGGAGCUGGAGCGGGGGCCACACCCAGGCGCUCCAGCGUGCAACCUGGGGCUCCUUCCUUGUUGUUCUUGUGACAUUCAUUUAUUUGAAAGAGUUGCAGACAGAAAUCUUCUACCCACCGGUUCACUUCCCAGAUGGCCACAUCGGCCAGGACGGGGCCAGCUUUUUCCAGGUCUCCCACAUGGGUGCUGGGGCCCAAGCACUUAGGCCACCCUCCAGUGCUUUCCCAGGCCAUUAGCAGGGAGCUGGAUCGGAAGUGGAGCAGCCAGGACAUGAGCCGGCGCCCAUAUGGGACACCAGUGCCACAGGCAGUGGCUUCACCGGCUGCGCCACAAUGCGGGACCAGGACAUGGCAAUCGUAACCACGAAGCUAAAUGCCCAUCACACGGACUGGGCUCUUGAGAGUUUUUUUACAUUUUUAUUUUCAUUUUUUAUUUAAAAGGUAGAGACAGAUACUUUCCAUCCUACUGGUUCACCACUCAAAUGCCUGCAACAGCCUAGCUGGGCCAGGCUGAGACCAGGAUCCUGGAACCCAAUCCAGGUCUCCCGUGUGAGUGCGGGGACCUACUGCCUUCCAGGUUCCGCAUCCGCAGGAAGUGGAAUCAGGAGCAGAGACUCACACCGAGACUCUGGUGUGGGCUGCAGAUGCCCCAAGGGAUUUCUCUAAGUUUCUACUUGUUUACUUUUCACUUGAAAAGCAGAGAGAGAUGUGAAGGUCCACAACAGCUGGGGCUGGGCCAGGCUGAAGCCAGGAGCCUGCAGCUCCAUCCAGGUGUCCCCUGUGGGCGCAGGGCCCCAGCAGGUGUAGACGCCCACGGUGUGCACCAGCAGCAAGCUGCAGAGGGAGUGGAGCAGCCCCGAGAGCCGGCGCUCUGAGCCGGGACGCAGCUGUCCCAGACACCUGCCCCUGCACGGCUGUUAUCACCAGGGGUACCGGGAGGGAAGGAUCCGAACCCUACUUCAGGGUUUGGGACACGGCCCUAGUGUGAGGGCCCAGCCUCUGGAGCCACUGCCCUCAGGAGAGGGGCGGUCACGGAAACAGAGCAGGGACCACCACUCCGCUUCCCCCACCUCUCAUCAGAGGCUGACCCUGCGCCCACCCCCCAGCCCUCGGACUUUGAACCUCAGAACCCAGAGCCGACACAGAACUAUCCGCUUCAGCAGGAGCCUGUCAGCUGUCUCGCUAUGGCGAUGACAGGCUGAGUAGCACGCCGGGUAGUUCUUGACAAAGAACCAUUCAGAGACCAAGCUUGAGGACAGUAGGUGGCCAAGGCCAGAGCCCAGGGAGCAGCGGUGGAGGAGCCCCUCAUUCCGAGGAUGGCAGCUGUGUGGGCAGCAGGGCCGGGGCAGCCCGAGGAGGAGGAGGAGGGGCGGGCAGGAGCCCUCAGGCCAGGCAGACCCCCCACCGCCGCCCCGGGCCAGGACGAAGGGAACCGGGACACGGGCUCACCUGGCCCUGCACGGCUCACCGGCAGCUGACCUGGACGGUCACGGGGACUGCACCCAGCUCUCACCGGCCCAGAGCCCCUGCCCACGGCCCAAGGGUGGACCAGUGACUUGGCCUGACAUUGUGAGGUCACACUCCUCCCAGGGCAGGGCAGGAGGGACAGGCACCCCAGGAGGGGCUGGCCGCUGCCUCUCCCCACACAAGAGGAAAGCGGGACCCCGAGGCUGGGGAGCAGGCCUCGCGCCACACCGCCAGGGAGCGACGCCUCCGCCCCGCCACGUCGACCACGUCAACAAGCAAGACCACGUCAGCCUCAGCCGUCUCCCGUCCACCCGCUCACACCACCACUGGGCUCGGGUUGGCCACCGAGUGCCCUGUGUAGGGGGGACUGGGCUCAGACCCCGCACCUGUCCUGGGAGCCAGAGGCAGACACCCCCCCCAGCCCGGGAGACCCGCUCACCUAGGGACACGCAGAUGCCACGGGCCGUCAGCGCCUGGAUGAC